GACGUAGGGCGCGAGCGUUGUCCGGAUUUAUUGGGCGUAAAGAGCUCGUAGGUGGUUUGUCGCGUUGUCCGUGAAAACUCACAACUCAAUUGUGGGCGUGCGGGCGAUACGGGCAGACUGGAGUACUGCAGGGGAGACUGGAAUUCCUGGUGUAGCGGUGGAAUGCGCAGAUAUCAGGAGGAACACCGGUGGCGAAGGCGGGUCUCUGGGCCAUUACUGACGCUGAGGAGCGAAAGCGUGGGGAGCGAACAGG
rnacentral:rRNA from 1 species